rnacentral:rRNA from 1 species
UACGAAGGGGGCUAGCGUUGCUCGGAAUCACUGGGCGUAAAGGGUGCGUAGGCGGGUUUUUAAGUCAGGGGUGAAAUCCUGGAGCUCAACUCCAGAACUGCCUUUGAUACUGAAGAUCUUGAGUCCGGGAGAGGUGAGUGGAACUGCGAGUGUAGAGGUGAAAUUCGUAGAUAUUCGCAAGAACACCAGUGGCGAAAGCGGCUCACUGGCCCGGUACUGACGCUGAGGCACGAAAGCGUGGGGAGCAAACAGG